rnacentral:rRNA from 1 species
CCUACGUGUGGCAGCAGUGAGGAAUAUUGGUCAAUGGACGCGAGCCUGAACCAGCCAAGUAGCGUGAAGGAUGACUGCCCUACGGGUUGUAAACUUCUUUUAGAAAGGAAUAAAAGGAGGCACGUGAGCCUUUUUUUAUGUAUUUUAUGAAUAAGGAUAGGCUAACUCCGUGCCAGCAGCCGCGGUAAUACGGAGGAGCAGAGCGUUAUCCGGAUUUAUUGGGUUUAAAGGGAGCGUAGAUGGGUUGUUAAGUCAGUUGUGAAAGUUUGCGGCUCAACCGUAAGAUUGCAAUUGAUACUGGCAGUCUUGAGUACAGUCGAGGUAGGCGGAAUUCGUGGUGUAGCGGUGAAAUGCUUAGAUAUCACGAAGAACUCCGAUUGCGAAGGCAGCUUACUAAACUGCCACUGACAUUGAUGCUCGAAAGUGUGGGUAUCAAACAGGAUUAGAUACCCCUGUAGUC